UACGUAGGGGGCGAGCGUUGUCCGGAUUCAUUGGGCGUAAAGAGCUCGUAGGCGGCUUGGCAAGUCGGGUGUGAAAUCUCUGGGCUUAACUCAGAGAGGCCACUCGAUACUGCUAUGGCUAGAGUCCGGUAGGGGACCAUGGAAUUCCUGGUGUAGCGGUGAAAUGCGCAGAUAUCAGGGAGGAACACCGGGUGGCGAAGGCGGUGGUCUGGGCCGGCACUGACGCUGAGGAGCGAAAGCGUGGGGAGCGAACAGG
rnacentral:rRNA from 1 species